rnacentral:lncRNA from 10 species
CCGGAGGGCAUUGCAUGAUCCUGCAAAAGAGAUGUUAUUGUUCUUAUGUCACGGGCAAGGGAACAGGGGUUCAGAGAGGUUAUGAAGUUGCCUAACGUCACAAAGCAGGGAGGUGGCGAAGCUAGGGUCCUCAGAGCUCUUCCCAUGAAAACUCAUUCACAUUUGUCCUUUCUUGUUUUACUUUACUAUGUGUCUGUGUGUGUAUUGUGUAGUCAUCAGUGCUGUUUGGGAUGCAAAUGACAGAACUCAAACCAGCUCAAACAAAAACAGGGUUUGGCUCAAAGGCCCUGUGGUGACUGGCGGAGGCUGAAAGCAGGACUGUGUUGAUCUCAAGAACAAGAGUUAGGCGCGCAGACCCUGUUGGAAGUCUCUCUAUCUCCUGCCCUUGCUCCUCUCUCUCUGAUGAUCAGACUUUUCUACUUCUUAGUUGAUGCAGCAGAAAACACCCGCUGCCAACAACCCGCAGUUCAGCUCCCAACCUCUCAACACAGAUUGGAGUGAAGAACCCCGAUUGUCCUCCCUGGGGUGCUGCACACCCCUGAACUAUCCCCUGAGGUUGGGAGGUGGGGCUCCUGGCCGAUGUGGGCUCUUCCAGUAAUUGCACGUAAAAUGGAGCUAAGAGCUGGGGACUCCCUGAAGAGGGGAGAGGAGUUUCUCGGCUGCCGUGUGCACAGCCGCCUGCAGCGGGACCCUCGUGCUGCUGUCUGGCGCCUCUGCUCCUUGUAGGUGGAUCCCAGCUCUCCCCACCUCACACAGCCGGGUGCAGGGAAGCGCACAGAGGCCGCCGGGGCCCUCACAUCCCGGAGAUUUUUUCUUCUAACAAGGCCCAGUUGUGAGGUGGCCAUCAUCGUUAAGGGACCAGCCACAGCCCCGCCGGUCGCCACUCCUGGGUCCGGCCUCACCUCCCCCGCAACCCAGGGUCUCCGGGGUCUGGCUCAGCCUACGGUGUCAGAACCCGGGACAACAGUGCGGGCCCAGACCAGACUCCCAGCCCGCAGCCGAGGGAACCCCGCGCUCAGGCUGCCCCGGGGCUUUUCAGCCCUCUCCGCCUCCCCGCAGCCCAUGCCCACCUCGCCCGCGCCCACCUCGCUGGCAGCCCUCACCCUCACCCUCACCGGGCGCUCGUCACAGCGCCCCCUACUGGGCCCCGGGGCCUCUCAGCGUUUCCGGCGCUCUUCACCUGACUGUGUCUCAUUCCCCCCUCUUUUCUGAACACUCUAUGUGCUUCAGCAAUGAACUGACAAGUGUGUGGGUGUGUCCCUGUGAGAGUCCCUGCCUGUGUCCCUGUGUGGCUCUGUGUGUCCUGCUCUGUGUAUUUGCUCUUCCUUUCUUCCCCUCCCCGUUUUAGGCGUUUCUCCGCCCUUCUUGCUCCACUCCACACCAGAAUCUUUGCUCCUAUGCGAGAAAAUACUGCAAGGACAUCUCCACAGCCAGACACAGAGCAUCAAGACUGAACAAACCGGAUGUGGUUCCCACCCGCAAUCUUGUCAGGGCAGACAGAAAGCCAGGUGUGCCAUGAAAUGCAUGCGUUACCUUGGUGACAUUCAGAGAAGAAGGGGAGGGGGCCCCCUUGGGGAGCAUGGCCAGGGAAGGCCUCUCUGAGGGGAUGACAUUGCAGCCACCAUCUCCCUGCAGGUCCCUUAGCAGCCCUCCCUCGCCUUUUUGAAUCUUGUACUUUUGAGCCAUCCUGACCUCUUGGCCCUUUCGUCAGCCUUGGGUCCGGAGGUUUUAAUGACGAGGUUAACAACUCUCUUGUAACUGGAGCAUUGAAAUCCCUGAAUGAAAGCAGCUCAAAGGUUUAGUGAGGCCCACAUGCUCUGCACUCUCCCCCUACCUUGCCAUCCCUCCCUCCUGCCAGUUAAUGUACCACUUUUUUUUUUUAAUGGGAGAAGUACGAUUUUUGGCAUAUAUGUUCCUGGCUUUUGAGGGGCUGGAGCUGUGGGGUGUGUCGUGGGCUGCACUGAUGGCUGUCCUUGGGGGAGGAGGUCUCCUGCACGGAGGGGCACAGGUCCCAGGGAGAGUGCACUGAGGUGAGGCCCCCUCUGGAGGCCUUUGGCUGUUGCUGGCAGUGGGCAGGUGUCUGUCAGAGUGGAAACAGCUGCUGAUCUGGUGACUCCCUUGCUUCCUGGCAAGCACAGGUGAGGGCUGUAGAGGAUCCUACUGGAGAGACAGAGAAGAGAAGGAG